UAUGUGAUCGUCUCUCGCAUAUCAAUAAGCGGAGGAAAAGAAACUAACAAGGAUUCCCCUAGUAACGGCGAGUGAAGCGGGAAGAGCUCAAAUUUGAAAUCUUAAAGGGUUUCCCUUUACGAAUUGUAGUUUAAAGAAGUGUUUUCUGUUGAGGCUUUGGUAAAAGUUCUUUGGAAUAGGACAUCAUAGAGGGUGAGAAUCCCGUAUUUGACCUUUACUUUCAACUUUGUGAUACACUUUCAAAGAGUCGGAUUGUUUGGGAAUGCAGUCCAAAAUGGGUGGUAAAUUUCAUCUAAAGCUAAAUAUUGGCGAGAGACCGAUAGCGAACAAGUACCGUGAGGGAAAGAUGAAAAGAACUUUGAAAAGAGAGUUAAACAGUACGUGAAAUUGUCAAAAGGGAAGCGUUUGACACCAGUGUUGUUUUUCUGAAAAUCAAUUAAAGAACUGUUUAUGCUAAGUUGUUUAGACUUUAUCAGCUAUCUGUUUAGUUUUGAGCUUUUCUUUAAUGCACUUUUCAGUUAACAAGUCAACAUCAAUUUCUUUUGCUGUAAAAAAGCUUGAGGAAGGUGGCUUGAGAUUCGUCUUAAGUGUUUAUAGCCUCUUGCCUAUGCAGUCGGAGAGAUUGAGGUCUGCAGCGUAGAUCCUUCGGGGCUAAAUGCAUUUGUGCUAAGUUAUAGCAUUUUAUAGACAACUUGUUGACUAUGAUUUGUCUUGUAGCUUACUCGCUUAUGUUAUUUUACCUACGCUUAGGAUGUUGAUCUGUAGUGCGUGCGC
rnacentral:rRNA from 1 species